rnacentral:sRNA from 1 species
GUAGCGAGAGAACGUUGCCGAAGGCAACGGCCCGAAGGGCGAGGCGCUUUAGCGCCGAGUUAUCCUUCCCCCACCACCA